rnacentral:rRNA from 1 species
GACGAACGCUGGCGGCGUGCCUAAUACAUGCAAGUUGAGCGCUGAAGGUUGGUACUUGUACCAACUGGAUGAGCAGCGAGCGGGUGAGUAACGCGUGGGGAAUCUGCCUUUGAGCGGGGGGCAACAUUUGGAAACGAAUGCUAAUACCGCAUAAAAACUUUAAACACAAGUUUUAAGUUUGAAAGAUGCAAUUGCAUCACUCAAAGAUGAUCCCGCGUUGUAUUAGCUAGUUGGUGAGGUAAAGGCUCACCAAGGCGAUGAUACAUAGCCGACCUGAGAGGGUGAUCGGCCACAUUGGGACUGAGACACGGCCCAAACUCCUACGGGAGGCAGCAGUAGGGAAUCUUCGGCAAUGGACGAAAGUCUGACCGAGCAACGCCGCGUGAGUGAAGAAGGUUUUCGGAUCGUAAAACUCUGUUGGUAGAGAAGAACGUUGGUGAGAGUGGAAAGCUCAUCAAGUGACGGUAACUACCCAGAAAGGGACGGCUAACUACGUG